rnacentral:lncRNA from 1 species
AAAAUUACAUAUGCCUAUGUUUAAUGGACUAGCCCGUGGGGACGCACGGGUUGACGACUAGUAUGUCUAAUAUUCCACUAUCCUUUUAUUAUUGUUAUUCAUCCUUUAGAUGGAAUGUGAAUGCACGAGGUUAUGCACGUAUACAUGCUAGGAGGCUGGCCAGUUGACAGAUUUAAGUGUGCGUGUUUAGUUUUUCUUCCAAUUUUUUUUCAAAAGAUUUUUUCUUCC